GGGCGCUAACACAUGCAGUCGAGCGGAAACGAGUUAUCUGAACCUUCGGGGAACGAUAACGGCGUCGAGGGCGGACGGGUGAGUAAUGCCUAGGAAAUUGCCCUGAUGUGGGGKAUAACCAUUGGAAACGAUGGCUAAUACCGCAUGAUGCCUACGGSSAAAGAGGGGGACCUUCGGGCCUCUCGCGUCAGGAUAUGCCUWGGUGGKAUUAGCUAGKUGGUGAGGUAAGGGCUCACCAAGGSGACGAUCCCUAGCUGGYCUGAGAGGAUGAUCAGCCACACUGGAACUGAGACACGGUCCAGACUCCUACGSSAGGCAGCWGUGGGGAAUAUUGCACAAUGSGCGCAAGUCWAAMGMRGCCAUGSCGYGCGYUCGAAGMAGGCCUUCGGGUUGUAAAGCACUUUCAGUCGUGACGACAGC
rnacentral:rRNA from 1 species